UUUGCAUUGGUGAUGGAUGAGGUCACAAGGGAUAUACAAGGAGAUAUCCCAUGGUGUAUGCUCUUUGCGGAUGAUGUGGUGCUAUUUGACGAUAGUCGGACGGGGGUAAAUAGGAAGUUAGAGUUAUGGAGACAAACCUUGGAAUCGAAAGGGUUUAGGCUUAGUAGAACUAAAACCGAGUACCUGAUGUGUGGUUUCAGUACUACUAGGUGUGAGGUGGAGGAGGUUAGCCUUGAUGGCCAGGUGGUACCCCAGAAGGACACCUUUCGGUAUUUGGGGUCAAUGCUGCAGGAGGAUGGGGGUAUUGAUGAAGAUGUGAACCAUCGAAUCAAAGCCGGAUGGAUGAAGUGGCGCCAAGCUUCUGGCAUUCUCUAUGACAAGAGAGUGCCACAGAAGCUA
rnacentral:rRNA from 1 species